UGGGGAAUUUUGGACAAUGGGGGAAACCCUGAUCCAGCCAUCCCGCGCGUGCGAUGAAGGCCUUAGGGUUGUAAAGCACUUUUGGCAGGAAAGAAACGUCAUGGGUUAAUACCCCGUGAAACUGACGGUACCUGCAGAAUAAGCACCGGCUAACUACGUGCCAGCAGCCGCGGUAAUACGUAGGGUGCAAGCGUUAAUCGGAAUUACUGGGCGUAAAGCGUGCGCAGGCGGUUCGGAAAGAAAGAUGUGAAAUCCCAGGGCUCAACUUUGGAACUGCAUUUUUAACUACCGGGCUAGAGUGUGUCAGAGGGAGGUGGAAUUCCGCGUGUAGCAGUGAAAUGCGUAGAUAUGCGGAGGAACACCGAUGGCGAAGGCAGCCUCCUGGGAUAACACUGACGCUCAUGCACGGAAGCGUGGGAAGCAAACAGG
rnacentral:rRNA from 1 species